rnacentral:rRNA from 1 species
GAUGAACGCUGGCGGCGUGCCUAAUACAUGCAAGUCGAGCGAACAGACGAGGAGCUUGCUCCUCUGACGUUAGCGGCGGACGGGUGAGUAACACGUGGAUAACCUACCUAUAAGACUGGGAUAACUUCGGGAAACCGGAGCUAAUACCGGAUAACAUGUUGAACCGCAUGGUUCAACAGUGAAAGACGGUCUUGCUGUCACUUAUAGAUGGAUCCGCGCCGCAUUAGCUAGUUGGUAAGGUAACGGCUUACCAAGGCAACGAUGCGUAGCCGACCUGAGAGGGUGAUCGGCCACACUGGAACUGAGACACGGUCCAGACUCCUACGGGAGGCAGCAGUAGGGAAUCUUCCGCAAUGGGCGAAGGCCUGACGGAGCAACGCCGCGUGAGUGAUGAAGGUCUUCGGAUCGUAAAACUCUGUUAUUAGGGAAGAACAAAUGUGUAAGUAACUAUGCACGUCUUGACGGUACCUAAUCAGAAAGCCACGGCUAACUACGUG